rnacentral:tRNA from 1 species
GCCUUGGUGGCUCAGUGGUAGAGCGCGCCCUUGGUAAGGGUGAGGUCGCGGGUUCAAUCCCCGCCCAGGGCU